rnacentral:rRNA from 1 species
CAGCAGCCGCGGUAAUACGGAAGGUCCAGGCGUUAUCCGGAUUUAUUGGGUUUAAAGGGAGCGUAGGCCGGAGAUUAAGUGUGUUGUGAAAUGUAGACGCUCAACGUCUGACUUGCAGCGCAUACUGGUUUCCUUGAGUACGCACAACGUUGGCGGAAUUCGUCGUGUAGCGGUGAAAUGCUUAGAUAUGACGAAGAACUCCGAUUGCGAAGGCAGCUGACGGGAGCGCAACUGACGCUUAAGCUCGAAGGUGCGGGUAUCAAACAGGAUUAGAUACCCCCGUAGUCCCUGUCUCUUAUAA